rnacentral:misc_RNA from 1 species
UAAUAAGUGUUUUAUGGCACUUUUUAAAUCCAUAUCCACCUUGUGUGCAAUGUCAGUCGAUCUUCUUCAUGGAGAUCGACCAAACAUCAACCUUUAUUUUUUAACUCUUUGUUUGAAAAAUAUUAUGAAUAAACAAUUCAAAAUA